rnacentral:rRNA from 1 species
CCUACGGGCGGCAGCAGUGGGGAAUAUUGCGCAAUGGGCGAAAGCCUGACGCAGCGACGCCGCGUGAGGGAUGAAGGUCUUCGGAUCGUAAACCUCUGUCAGGAGGGAAGAACGGUCACUGUACUAAUCAGCAGUGAAUUGACGGUACCUGCAAAGGAAGCACCGGCUAACUCCGUGCCAGCAGCCGCGGUAAUACGGAGGGUGCGAGCGUUAAUCGGAAUUACUGGGCGUAAAGCGCGCGUAGGCGGUAUGGUAAGUCAAGGGUGAAAUCCCCGUGCUCAACGUGGGAACUGCCUUUGACACUGGCAGACUGGAGUGUGUGAGAGGAUAGUGGAAUUCCAGGUGUAGGAGUGAAAUCCGUAGAUAUCUGGAGGAACAUCAGUGGCGAAGGCGACUAUCUGGCACAUAACUGACGCUGAGGAGCGAAAGCGUGGGGAGCAAACAGGAUUAGAUACCCGAGUAGUC